GAAGUUUGAUUCCUGGCUCAGGAUGAACGCUAGCGGCAGGCCUAAUACAUGCAAGUCGAGGGGUAACAGGAAGUGCUUGCACUUCGCUGACGACCGGCGCACGGGUGAGUACCGCGUAUACAAUCUGCCUCAUACUAGGGAAUAGCCCGAAGAAAUUUGGAUUAAUACCCUAUAGUAUCUUUUUAAGGCAUCUUAUUAAGAUUAAAGGUUACGGUAUGAGAUGAGUAUGCGUUCUAUUAGCUAGUAGGUGUGGUAACGGCACACCUAGGCUACGAUAGAUAGGGGCCCUGAGAGGGGGAUCCCCCACACUGGUACUGAGACACGGACCAGACUCCUACGGGAGGCAGCAGUAAGGAAUAUUGGACAAUGGGCGAAAGCCUGAUCCAGCCAUGCCGCGUGCAGGAUGACUGCCCUAUGGGUUGUAAACUGCUUUUAUAUAGGAAGAAAAAUUUUCUCGUGAGAAAACUUGACGGUACUAUAAGAAUAAGGAUCGGCUAACUCCGUGCCAGCAGCCGCGGUAAUACGGAGGAUCCAAGCGUUAUCCGGAAUCAUUGGGUUUAAAGGGUCCGUAGGUGGACAAAAUAAGUCAGAGGUGAAAUCCUGCAGCUCAACUGUAGAACUGCCUUUGAUACUGUUUGUCUUGAGUUAUUAUGAAGUGGUUAGAAUGUGUAGUGUAGCGGUGAAAUGCAUAGAUAUUACACAGAAUACCGAUUGCGAAGGCAGAUCACUAAUAAUUAACUGACACUGAGGGACGAAAGCGUGGGUAGCGAACAGGAUUAGAUACCCUGGUAGUCCACGCCGUAAACGAUGGUCACUAGCUGUUUGGACUUCGGUCUGAGUGGCUAAGCGAAAGUGAUAAGUGACCCACCUGGGGAGUACGUUCGCAAGAAUGAAACUCAAAGGAAUUGACGGGGGCCCGCACAAGCGGUGGAGCAUGUGGUUUAAUUCGAUGAUACGCGAGGAACCUUACCAGGGCUUAAAUGUUAGGUGACAGAUCUAGAAAUAGAUUUUUCUUCGGACACUUAACAAGGUGCUGCAUGGUUGUCGUCAGCUCGUGCCGUGAGGUGUCAGGUUAAGUCCUAUAACGAGCGCAACCCCUGUUGUUAGUUGCCAGCGAGUAAUGUCGGGAACUCUAGCAAGACUGCCAGUGCAAACUGUGAGGAAGGUGGGGAUGACGUCAAAUCAUCACGGCCCUUACGUCCUGGGCUACACACGUGCUACAAUGGGAGAUACAGACGGUUGCUAAAGCGCGAGCUGGAGCCAAUCCGAAAAAGUCUCUCGUAGUCCGAAUUGCAGUCUGGAACUCGACUGCAUGAAGCCGGAAUCGCUAGUAAUCGCGGAUCAGCAUGCCGCGGUGAAUACGUUCUCGGGUCUUGCACUCACUGCCCGUC
rnacentral:rRNA from 1 species